rnacentral:rRNA from 1 species
CUAGUAAUCGCGGAUCAGCAUGCCGCGGUGAAUACGUUCCCGGGCCUUGUACACACCGCCCGUCACACCAUGAGAGUCGAUAACACCCGAAGCCUGUAGUCUAACCGCAAGGAGGACGCAGUCGAAGGUGGGAUUGAUAAUUAGGGUGAAGUCGUAACAAGGUAGC